rnacentral:rRNA from 1 species
GACGUAGGGCGCGAGCGUUGUCCGGAUUUAUUGGGCGUAAAGAGCUCGUAGGCGGCUUGUCGCGUCGUCCGUGAAAACUUGGGGCUCAACCCCAAGCCUGCGGUCGAUACGGGCAGGCUAGAGUUCGGUAGGGGAGACUGGAAUUCCUGGUGUAGCGGUGAAAUGCGCAGAUAUCAGGAGGAGCACCGGUGGCGAAGGCGGGUCUCUGGGCCGAUACUGACGCUGAGGAGCGAAAGCGUGGGGAGCGAACAGG